GUCCACGCCGUAAACGAUGAAUACUAGGUGUAGGGUUGUCAUGACCUCUGUGCCGCCGCUAACGCAUUAAGUAUUCCGCCUGGGGAGUACGGUCGCAAGAUUAAAACUCAAAGGAAUUGACGGGGCCCGCACAAGCAGCGGAGCAUGUGGUUUAAUUCGAAGCAACGCGAAGAACCUUACCUAGACUUGACAUCUCCUGCAUUACCCUUAAUCGGGGAAUCGCUUCGGCGACAGGAAGACAGGUGGUGCAUGGUUGUCGU
rnacentral:rRNA from 1 species